GACGAACGCUUGCGACGUGCCUAAGAAAUGCAAGUCGAACGGGGUCAUCCUUCGGGGUGGCCUAGUGGCGAACGGUCGCGUAACACGUGGGCAACCUGCCCUGAAGCGGGGGACAACAGCUCGAAAGAGUUGCUAAUACCGCAUGUGUAUCGGAAUGGCAUCAUUCAGGAUACAAAGCCUUCGGGCACUUCAGGAUGGGCCCGCGGCCUAUCAGCUAGUUGGUGAGGUAACGGCCCACCAAGGCUUCGACGGGUAGCUGGUCUGAGAGGACGAUCAG
rnacentral:rRNA from 1 species